AACGAUUGCAAGAUUGUGGUUUCAAUUCCAAGACCAGGUGGUGCAUUGUGUUCUUGAACAAAACAUUUCAUUUCACACUGCUCCGUUCCACUCCACUAUAAAUGAGUUCCAGCAAUACCUGGGAAGUUAACCCUGAGAUGGACUGGCAUCCUGUUCAGGAGGAAUGGUGGAGAGUAAUUGUAUUG